CGUGUAGGCGGCCGAUCAAGUCGGAUGUGAAAUCUCUCGGCUCAACCGAGAAACUGCAUCCGAUACUGGUCAGCUAGAGUGCGAGAGGGGUGAGUGGAACUCCAGGUGUAGCGGUGAAAUGCGUAGAUAUCUGGAGGAACGCCGGUGGCGAAAGCGACUCACUGGCUCGCAACUGACGCUGAGGCGCGAAAGCUAGGGGAGCGAACG
rnacentral:rRNA from 1 species